UGUAUUGAUAUGUGCGGUGGGAGUGGAGUGCAGGAGGACUGGAGUUCACAACUUCUCAGCAAAGUGUUACACCUCUCAGAACGGACAUCUAGACCACACAGUUACCCUUUUGCUAUGGAUGGGUGUGUCUUCCUCAGUUCUCACUUUGUAGAGCUGCACUUUUUAAAGUUCAGCUCAGACAGCUGCUGGCACAAAGAGGGCCAUACUGAAGACUCCAUGGAGAGAGUAAGAAUGUUCUCCCCUGUGUCUGAUGUAUUAAUAUGCUUGAUAUGGUGACUCAGCAGCUGGUAGGAAGUUGACGCUCUCAGAGGUUAUCAGUGGAUACUUCCACCAUCACUCAGCAGUGAUAAAGGGAAUUUAUGUAAGUGAUUGCUUUGUGAACACAGCAGCAGUCCACAAUAAUAUCUGCUUCCUAACCCCACGACAAGACUCAGUGAAGAUGUUAAAUGUGGAUAAUGAAUUUAUAAUAGAAAUCUUGGAACAGGACAACGUUUUGUACAGAGUAGGAACAGUAAGCUCUUCUUAACUGCCCAGACCUACUAGAGCCUCUUUCUCAGCCCUUUUUUCUGAGCUUGUUUUCUAAGCCAAUCCCUGGGUUUUGACUUUUGAGAAUGAAACUCCGUUUUCCCAACCCCCGGUCAUUCUCCACCCCUUUUCUUACUUCCUACGCCCCCACAACACCUCUCCAACACAACCAUGCUCUUUCCCUGCCCUAUGCUUCUGGCUGACUUGACCCAACUUGAUUCUCAGAGCAGAUCGCCUCAGCCCAUUCAUUGUUCCUAGACCUGCUUUAUGUGGGGCAGUCUUAAAAAACCUCACAAUACCACUUCCUUUCAGAAAUGGGUUGCUGAUAAUUGUCAUUCAUAUUUACUAUAUGCCCCAGCAUGUGUAUUGGGCACCACAGAAAGACAUGAAGGGGGUGUCUAUCCCACCCUGGGGAGUCUUGGUCACAGAGGACCUCUAGGCUGGUAAAAUUCCUCUCCUUUAAGUUUGAGCAGCACUUGGAACAAGCAAAUUGCAUCCAAGAAAUAUGAAUUUGUAGAGAGAUUGUCAGUUAUCAUCUUACUGUGAAAAACACUACUGGCAAGACACUUAGGUCUUCUGGUUGACAAGUUGCAUUUCUGGUUAGAAAAACCAUCUGAAAACAUGUCCAGUGAUUUGUUUAGUAUGUAGAGCCCAAAUUUAAGAGAACUGGGUGUCUUGUAUGGGACAUUCUGUGAAAUGAAGACAAAACCUAGUGACUUUUCUUUGCUUCUAGAGCUCAUCUUUAUAGUAAUCUGGAUGAGUCCAAAUGCUGCAAAUUAGCAGUUCUUAUCUCCAUAGAUAAUGAAGAUCAGAUCCUAAAGCAACUGUUUUCAAGGCCUAGUGACUUUCUCUUUGAGCCUGGUGAUCUCUUGAUAUUGAAAUUAUGUUUCUCUGAGCAUUUAUCUAUUGGCAUAUACACAGGAAAGUAACUGAGGACUUAGACACAAUAAUUUUGCUUUGGAAAUCACACUCUAGCAGGUAAAUAAUAAGCCUGAAAGAUAGAAGGUGCUCUGUAAAUAUGAAAAACCCAAUGAUAAAUAAAUGAGUACAAAUAAUUCAAAAUUAACUAAAAAUUUUUGAAAAACUUUAUGAAAAAUAGAUUCAAAAGUGGCCAUUCUUUGGGUCUAAUUCUUUUAAGAAGAAAGUAGUUUUAUAGAACUAGUAAUGAAUAACAGUUGAUACAUCAUUUAUUGAAAGGUUUCACAUGCAAGGGAUGACUCAUUAAGGUGGAGAAUCCCACACUGUUCACUUGGAAUCUAAUUUGCAAGACUUUCUGUUCAGUAAAGCCCAGUAGUAACAUGGCAGGGAUAAAAAUCUUCCAAAUCAAAUUGAGCACGUACUCAAAGCUUCUCUUUCUUCCAAUUAUAAAGUGAAAAAGAGCUCUUGGAAAGAAGAAAAGUAAAGAAGAAUAUGUAGGGUGCCUUGCUGUGUGUGCUUCACACGUUCAAACAUAUCUUUUCAAUAAGGACCAAAUGUCAUUUUCAGACAUAACCCUUAGUCAGUUUUGUUAAUGUAUACUCGUUGUGAAGCCAUAAUCACAAACUCUAUUUGAAUGAAAUGGCCUUAUUAUACAUGAGUUGCCAUGCUUUGUACCACAUGAUGGUGUUACCAUGAGCAAAGCUGCUCUGUGGCCAAGGACCAGCCAUUGAGCCAAAGGCAGUCAUUUAUAGUCUGGCCAGCAGCUUAUGAGUUGGCUGGAGUCAUAACAAUGCAUACUAAGGAUGUUCCUUUAGCACCCAAUGCAUGCUGCAUUCUGACACUUUCUCUCAGGGAGUUCAACUAAAAGAUAGAUGCAGCUGGUGGAAAGGAAAACCUGAAGGCCCAGAAAUAAGGCAGUAAACAGAAGCCUGAGACCACAAAGGCACAGAGACAGUUUUCAAUGGUAUCAUAGCAGGUGAGAACAGUAAAGGCAGGAGUGCUGUCCAAAAUGGUGGAACGCUAGAGUAGAGGAUGAAUGAUGUGUCUUGUUGAUGGAAUGUGAAAAUAAAGGCCAAUCAAAUGACAGCAAGCAAAAGCUAUUUGUUCUGAGUUUGCUAUAGCAAGGGAGACUGCCAUGUCACUUGCAGCCUUUGACAGGGACUCAAAGCAGGCAGAGGAGUGGGGGAAACUUUAUAGUAGAUGAAAGAGAAGGCUUCUGGUGUGCCCUCAUUGAGGCCUUUGGCAAGGGGAACUACUGGUGGGCUAACUAGAAGUAGGACAUUCUGUUAGGGGUUAGGGGUGCAUAUUUGGCUUUCUCUGAUUUACCCUAAGUUGGGAGCAGGAACAAAAAUUAGGGCAGACAUUGAUUAUUAAUUAAGCCCUGGACAUUUUGGGCUGAUUGUUACAGAAAUUAUUGUUUAACUUCCUGGGUUGCCACCAGAAAUGGCAAUCUGGCUUCCUUCAAGUGAGACAUAAUUGGUUGUUCAUUGCAGACAAGGGGUUGGCUUCCUGGGAAAAGGACUGUAGGUUGCCAGCCAAAGGUCUAGUUUUAUAUAUGGUCUAGCCAUUGUCCAUUUGUAUGUUCAGUCCUUAAGGAGUCUAGCUGUUGUGUCUGUAGUCCCAUUCUCCAGAGGGCCUGCCUCUGCAGUUGUUGAAAUUGUUUCCAAUAUUUUCUGCUUUAAAACUGUUUCUGUUUGGGGCACCUGGGUGGCUCAGUUGGUUAAGCAAAUGACUCUUGGUUUCGGCUCAGGUCAUGAUCUUGGGAUCAUGAGAUUGAGCCCCCCAUCAUGCUCAGUGCUCAGCCAGGAGUCUGCUUGAGAUGCUUUACCACCUCCCUCUCCCUCUACUCCUCCACACUGUUCCAGCACUCUUUCUCUCUCUCAAAUAAAUAAAUAAAUAAAUACAGUCUUAAAAAAUAAAAACAAAAGACUGUUUCUGCUUUUAAAAUUAGGAUUGUCUGAAGUUUAACAGAAAAAUCCCAUAUGCUGGAAAUGCCCUCAGUUCCAGGCAAACCGGGAUGGUCAGUGGAAGUACCUAUUAAUAUCCUUUCAGUAGUCCUAAUUAACUGAGUUAAUAAGCAAGGCAUUGGUGGUUUUUAACAUCUCAUCAUGUUCAUCGCUCUCUAUCCCUCGAAAUAUAAAACAGCCUAACACAAGGCAAAAUGAUAGCCUCAUUUUUAACAAGCGAGGUAGUGAAAACUCCAUUACUCUCGGAUCAUUUGCACAUGAGUGCAAUAGAAUGCUGCAUUGGGAAUUAGGAGGCCUGCCUUUGCUGCCGGCCAGCUCUGUGACCUUGCAUACAUCGCAGAGGAGCAGAAUGGUAACGUGUGCACUUUCUGGAGACUUGGUCUCAACAAUUUGUUCACUAUAGCUUUGGGAAAGUCACUUUACUUCAGAGCCCACAUUUUCUCAUUUGCAAAAUAGAGAUUCUACUCAUCUAGCUUUUAGGAUCAUUAUAAGAAGUGUAUAAAAUUACAUAUGUAAAACAGCUAUCCCAUUGCCUGGUGUGUAAUAUGCUUCAAUAAAUCUAUACAUUUUGCAAAUAUAUUUUUCUUGCUAAUACCACUGAUCAGGGCCUGAGUUGUGCCCCCCUC
rnacentral:lncRNA from 1 species